UACGAAGGGGGCUAGCGUUGCUCGGAAUCACUGGGCGUAAAGGGCGCGUAGGCGGCCAUUCAAGUCGGGGGUGAAAGCCUGUGGCUCAACCACAGAAUUGCCUUCGAUACUGUUUGGCUUGAGUUUGGUAGAGGUUGGUGGAACUGCGAGUGUAGAGGUGAAAUUCGUAGAUAUUCGCAAGAACACCAGUGGCGAAGGCGGCCAACUGGACCAACACUGACGCUGAG
rnacentral:rRNA from 1 species